rnacentral:tRNA from 1 species
GGCCGGAUGGCGGAACUGGCAGACGCGUAGGUCUCAAAAACCUAUGAGGAUAAUACCUCGUGAGGGUUCGAGUCCCUCUCCGGCCA